rnacentral:lncRNA from 1 species
GAAAAGGGUGAACCAAAGCAUUGUUUUAAAAGAAAAAACAAAGAAUGUAUUUAUGAUAUGACCUGAGUAUAGGGCACAGGAGAAAAUAGUGGGAGAUAAACUUGAAAGGUAGAAUGAGGACUCACUAGAGAAUUUUAAGAGAGGGUCUUAGAAAGAUAGAACAGGAGCAGUUGACUAAAACUCCUGGACAUUUUGCUAAAUACUUCAACUUUUUUGUACAAACAAUAGAGUGAUUUUUUUUUUUUUUUUUGUAUCAGCAUGGUGAUUUAUGUGUAAUCAUCAGGGCUAUGUAUUAGGAUAAGAUGUCAUGAUCAUGUCCAUCCCUGGACAAAGACCAUGUUAUACAGGAUUUUCUGUAUUUUGAAACUUGGACAUCAAAAUAAAAUAUGGUUACAAUAUAUAUGUUUGCAGUAUACAAAAGUUUUUCAAAAACAACCGGCUAUUUAAUUUGGAUCUAGGAUGGUAGAAUGAAACACUUUCAUAUGAAAUAUCUAAAUGAUUGAGAUCAAAUUAUGUAUCUUUAUUGCUUAUUUAAUUUUACUUCUGUAGAUAAAUUCACAAUAUGUGUGUGAAGACAAUUUGUAAGUCUUUGGUAGUUUUUAUGAUUGCAAUAUUAAAAUAUAUUUUUGCUGUUUCAGAUGAUGGUGCCUGUCAAUUAACUGAACAACUGUGGUUUUGAACCUCUUGAGGCCAGGGACUGUCUGAGAACACCUACAGUAUCUGACGCAAGGUAAGUCUGCAACAAAUAUUAACCCUUCUUUCCCUUCUUUGGAUUUUAAUACCUAAUACAAUGACUAAUAUAUUGUUGGCACUAAAAAAAUAUUGAUUGGGAUAGAUGUAUGGAAGGAAUAUUCAAACAUUGUAUUCUAUUCACGUUAUUUCUCUUAUAAAAUAUGCUAUGAUUAGAUUGUUCUUUAGUAUGGAUAACCAGUCCUUUUUUCAUAAAUAAAAUUACAAUCAAAACAAUGGAACAACUGGGAAAUGGUCUGCCAAUGAAGGAUUUAUUUUUCAGUUCUGAAUCAUGGAUGAUGUGAGUCAUGAAUGUGUGGGAAAUCUAACAAUGGGUUAAAAUUUUGAACUAGAGCAGCAGAUGCCUAUAGAUUUAAAUGUUGAUUGAAUUUAGCUGCUGCUGCUAUGAAAUUAUUAGCCCUCGGCGGUGGUCUCGCCUACAUACUUUAUUUUGUUUUUUUUCUGGAAGCUACAAAGCUAUUUAUUGUUAAUGAGGGAAUAAAGCAAGAAAACAG